AACGAACGCUGGCGGCAUGCCUAACACAUGCAAGUCGAACGAGACCUUCGGGUCUAGUGGCGCACGGGUGCGUAACGCGUGGGAACCUGCCCUUAGGUUCGGAAUAACUCCCCGAAAGGGGUGCUAAUACCGGAUAAUGUCUUCGGACCAAAGAUUUAUCGCCUUUGGAUGGGCCCGCGUUGGAUUAGCUAGUUGGUAGGCUAAAAGCCUACCAAGGCGACGAUCCAUAGCUGGUCUGAGAGGAUGAUCAGCCACACUGGGACUGAGACACGGCCCAGACUCCUACGGGAGGCAGCAGUGGGGAAUAUUGGACAAUGGGCGAAAGCCUGAUCCAGCAAUGCCGCGUGAGUGAUGAAGGCCUUAGGGUUGUAAAGCUCUUUUACCCGUGAUGAUAAUGACAGUACCGGGAGAAUAAGCUCCGGCUAACUCCGUG
rnacentral:rRNA from 1 species